UACGAAGGGGGCUAGCGUUGCUCGGAAUCACUGGGCGUAAAGCGCACGUAGGCGGCUCUUUAAGUCAGGGGUGAAAUCCUGGAGCUCAACUCCAGAACUGCCUUUGAUACUGGGGAUCUCGAGUCCGGGAGAGGUGAGUGGAACUGCGAGUGUAGAGGUGAAAUUCGUAGAUAUUCGCAAGAACACCAGUGGCGAAGGCGGCUCACUGGCCCGGUACUGACGCUGAGGUGCGAAAGCAUGGGGAGCGAACAGG
rnacentral:rRNA from 1 species